CACAUGCACACACACACGGACACACACAUGGACACACACACAUGCACACACACACGGACACACACAUGGACACACACACAUGCACACACACACGGACACAAAGACACAGACCCACACAACAGAAGCUGCAGUGUUACGCCAGGCUGGACCAGGCAGGUUCUCCUCCAGAUUGACGCUGGGGGCAUGUGACUGUCUGUGCAGGGUGAGGGAAACACUCACCCUCGCGUUUCACUUCCACUGACCUGCCAACUGCGUUUCUCGAGAACGAAAACCACUCUUUUAUUUGUAAGUUAGCAUUGAGGACCAGUGGUGACUGAAUCCAGGUCCUAGAGUCUGUUCCAGAUGGUGCAGACAAACACAGAUCCAAAGUAGGCUGGGAGCUUCGAGAGGAGCUCAAAUUUUAUAUAUCCUGUAAUUAAGCUCAAAUUUUAUAUAUUGUGUUAUCAAUUCCAAAUCUGAUAUUUAAUUAAGCUCAAUUUGUAUAUAAUGUAAUGAAGUUCAAAUUUUAUAUAUUGUGUAACAGCAAAAAAUCAUAUUCAUCCAAUUAUUCAUCUGGGAUUUAGCAGACAGCCACAGAUCCAACAUUUAAUUAAGAUAUAUUUUUAUAUAAUGUAAUGAAGUUAAAAAAUCAUAUUCAUCCAAUUAUUCAUCUGGGAUUUUGCAGACAGACACAGACCCAACUUAAUUACUGGAUAUACAAAAAAUAUAUACCUCAAAUUCUAUAUAUUGUGUACAGUAUUUCACCUCAAAUUGUAUAUACAAUAUCAUGCAAUUAAGCUCAAAUUUUAUAUAUUGUGUAUUUCAGCUCAAAUUUUAUAUAUAAUGUAAUUUAAUUUAAUGUAAUAAUGUAAUGUGGUUUAAUCAUUUAAUUCAACUCAGUUUUCAUAUAAUGUAAUUCAUGUAGUAAUUCAUUAAAAUGAUAUAUUGUGCAACAGCAAAAAAUCAUAUUUAUCAUCUGGGUUAAAACAUUUUUUAUUAUGUUUAUUACAUACAGAAAAAUGGCAGUUUUCAAUUAGGUCAGUCUAUUAUGUUAGCCCUAGUGUUAGGGCAAACUGUAAUAUUGUAUUAUAUUAUAAUCAUAUAACAGCAGAGCCCUUGGAAAGCCCUCCACCAGAGGCUCCUCAGCAAAAUGGAGUCAGUCACUGGAAGAGCACAGCCAGUUCUGUAUGGGUUUCCCACAGCGUGCAUGUUUAAUGCCCGUUUAAAACAAUUUCAGCUUUGUUGCCCUUUAUUCCUGCUACCUUGGUGUCAUGUGCAUUAAAUAUGUCCUGCAAGUAGGCAGGUAAGUGUGAAUGUGUUUGUGAGUGUGCAGGUGAAUGAGUAUACAGGUAAGUGUUAAUGUAUGAGUAUCACACAGGUAUAUGUGAUUGUGCAGGUGUGUGUACAGGUAUAUGUGAUUGUGCAGGUGUGUGUACAGGUAUAUGUGAUUGUGCAGGGAAGUGUGUGUGGGAGUGUGCAGGUGAGUGUACAGGUAUGUGUGAUUGUGCAGGAAAGUGUGUGUGUGGGAGUGUGCAGGUGAGUGUACAGGUAUGUGUGAUUGUGCAGGGAAGUGUGUGUGUGGGAGUGUGCAGGUGAGUGUACAGGUAUGUGUGAUUGUGCAGGGAAGUGUGUGUGUGGGAGUGUGCAGGUGUGUGUACAGGUAUGUGUGAUUGUGCAGGUGAGUGUACAGGCAUGUGUGAUUGUGCAGGGAAGUGUGUGUGGGAGUGUGCAGGUGAGUGUACAGGCAUGUGUGAUUGUGCAGGGAAGUGUGCAGGUGAGUGAGUGAGUGUGCAGGUGAGUGUACAGGCAUGUG